AGCUCCACAGCUGCCAACAUGAUCUCCCAGAUUCAGUUUCUCUGGCUCCUUGUGCUCUGCAUUCAGGACUCCAUUGGGCAGAUUGUGGUGACUCAGACUCCAGAAUCCCUGGCAGUGUCUCCUGGAGACACAGUCACUAUCCGCUGCAAAACCAGUUCCAGUGUAAGCAACAACAUGGCCUGGUACCAACAGAAAUCAGGACAAGCGCCUAAGCUCCUUAUCUACUACGCUUCCAGCCGUCCGUCUGGGGUCCCAGACCGGUUCAGCGGCAGUGGGUCUGGCACCGACUUCACAUUCACCAUCAGCAGGGUUGAAGCAAAUGAUGCUGGAGAUUAUUACUGUCAGUAUUACUACAGUUCCAGUGGGCAGAUUGUGCUGACUCAGUUUCCAGAAUCCCUGGCAGUGUCUCCCGGAGACACAGUCACUAUCCGCUGCAAAACCAGUUCCAGUGUAGGCAGCUACAUGAGCCUGUACCAGCAGAAAUCAGGACAAGCUCCUAAACUCCUUAUCUACGACGCUUCUAACCGUCCCUCUGGGAUCCCAGACCGGUUCAGCGGCAGUGGGUCUGGCACCGACUUCACAUUCACCAUCAGCAGGGUUGAAGCGGAUGAUGCUGGAGAUUAUUACUGUCAGUGUUACUACAGUAGCUCUCUCACACAGUGA